UCUUUCUUUCUUUCUUUCUUUCUUUCUUUCUUUCUUUCUUUCUUUCUUUCUUUCUUUCUUUCUUUCUUUCUUUCUUCCUUUCUUCCUUUCUUCCUUUCUUCCUUUCUUCCUUUCUUCCUUUCUUCCUUUCUUCCUUUCUUCCUUUCUUCCUUUCUUCCUUUCUUCCUUCCUUUCUUCCUUCCUUUCUUCCUUCCUUUCUUCCUUCCUUUCUUCCUUUCUUCCUUUCUUCCUUUCUUUUUUCCUAUUUUUUUUUUCUUUUUCUUUUUAAGAUGCUAUUUGGAAGUAGAAUAGAAUAUCUAAGAUUUGUCUCUUACAAGAAGAUAACCAUUUUUUGCUAGUUCUCUGCCUCUUCAUUCAUGGAGACAGUAUCCAUUCAAAAGGUGAAACUGAUUGCAGGAAAGGACAGCUUUAUCAAUUUCUUUAAAUG
rnacentral:lncRNA from 1 species